GACGAACGCUGGCGGCGUGCUUAACACAUGCAAGUCGAACGAUGAAGCCCAGCUUGCUGGGUGGAAGAGUGGCGAACGGGUGAGUAACACGUGAGUAACCUGCCCCUGACUCUGGGAUAAGCGCUGGAAACGGCGUCUAAUACUGGAUAUGACCUAUCACCGCAUGGUGUGUGGGUGGAAAGAUUUAUCGGUUGGGGAUGGACUCGCGGCCUAUCAGCUUGUUGGUGAGGUAAUGGCUCACCAAGGCGACGACGGGUAGCCGGCCUGAGAGGGUGACCGGCCACACUGGGACUGAGACACGGCCCAGACUCCUACGGGAGGCAGCAGUGGGGAAUAUUGCACAAUGGGCGCAAGCCUGAUGCAGCAACGCCGCGUGAGGGAUGACGGCCUUCGGGUUGUAAACCUCUUUUAGUAGGGAAGAAGCGAAAGUGACGGUACCUGCAGAAAAAGCACCGGCUAACUACGUGCCAGCCGCCGCCGUAACAC
rnacentral:rRNA from 1 species